rnacentral:pre_miRNA from 1 species
AAGGUACUCCCUCCGUUCCAAAAUUCUUGUCUUAGAUCUGUCUAGAUACGGAUGUAUCUAAUACUAAAACGUGACUUGAUACAUCCGUACUUAGACAAAUUUAAUACAAGAAUUUUGAGACGGAGGGAGUAUCAU